rnacentral:rRNA from 1 species
GACGAAGGAUCCAAGCGUUAUCCGGAUUCAUUGGGUUUAAAGGGUGCGUAGGCGGGUUUGUAAGUCUGUGGUGAAAUCCUAUCGCUUAACGAUGGAACUGCCAUUGAUACUGCGGACCUAGAAUAUAGAUGAUGUUGGCGGAAUAUGACAUGUAGCGGUGAAAUGCAUAGAUAUGUCAUAGAACACCGAUUGCGAAGGCAGCUGACAAAACUAUUAUUGACGCUGAUGCACGAAAGUGCGGGGAUCAAACAGG